UUUCGCGUUUGUAUCUAACGACUUUUGUAAGACCGUGAAGCUAGUCGUUGUUUGUCUCGCUCACUCUAAAUGCAUGUAGCGUCGAAAAUGGCGGUAAGAAUGUAAUAAUUAUACUAUUAGGUGCGUUGGCGCGUCGUGCGGCACAAAGCGCAUUUCGUGUACCGCGAUGUAACAAAUUCGUGAUGUAAGUCCGCGUAAGUGAAAUGUGCGAAUUGAUUUUCGGUAGUGCAAAUCACUAAUUAGUACGAGUUUCCGAUGUUUAUUAAUUUUUCGCGUGUGAAGCAAAAGUGUAGUGUCUAAGUGAGUGCAUCAAAGUGACUGCAAUAUCUUAAUUGAUACAGUUGAUUUUAAUGAAGUUGAUGCAGAGCAGUUCAAGGCGGAAUCCGCAACGAAGGGUGAGACAAAAUCCGCAACGAAAGGCAGACUGCAACAUCCUAGCUGGUAUAGCCGUAAGAGCAUGCUUGUUUAGGAUGCAACGACCGGUGAGUGAAAUAUUGAUUUAUUAUACGUGCAUGAUUGCACGUAUCAUGAACAAGAACACUAAUACCAUUUUUUGUUCUCUUGUUAUUCGCCAAUAUUU